GUAGGUGAACCUGCGGAAGGAUCAUUAACACUUUUUCCAAAACUCCUUUUUCUAUGGCCCAAAAAGCCAACGAUUUAGGUUUAAACCCCAAUUUAUUGCGAACGAUGAUUUUCCAAAAUCAUUCUUCUCUUCUUUAUCCUCUUUUUUUAUUUUUACCCCAAUUUUUACAAAAUCCAAGCCUGAUAUAAAAUCGUUUCUCUUUUUCGAAGAGAACACGACCGAAACCUAAUGGUUAAAACAACUCUUAGCA
rnacentral:misc_RNA from 1 species